AACCUUUCUAGCACCGACAUCGCACACAACCACCGGAUAUCCAUUGUCAAUUUCCCAAAAAACCGUCCAUUUCAUUGAAGGGAACUAAAAGUUUGGAAGAAGUUAGUAAAUCUGCAACUCCCCGCCAUAACUGAUCCAUGGAAAUCGGAUGUUCUGAAUACACGUUCAUUGUAUACACGUUCGAUGAUUCAAGAUCCCAUUAUCCCUCUACUACUCCUUCACGAACACUCUACUACGACGCCCAUCAGUUUCUGAGUGAGAUUCGGUGGAUUCACUCAAUCAAUCAGCCUGUAUUUGAAGAUGAAGGUAUUAAUUGAACUAGUUUUCAAGCAAUUAAGCAACACUACACACACUUGUCUGAGAUUCUAUAAGCCCUAGUUUAGUUUUGGUUUAAUUUGUUGGUUCCUAAUUUGUGUCUUCAUUUAGCUCAUAUUUGAAUACCUAUUCGUAUAUUAUUGAUGGAUAUAUUCGUUUAGAAGUUGAUUAAUUGUUUGCCCCUUGUGACGAUUUUUAGUUUUAACAUGAUUUUUAGUAUUAA